AGUAACACGUAGGUAACCUGCCCAUGUGCCCGGGAUAACUUCUGGAAACGGAUGCUAAAACCGGAUAGGUAGCAGACAAGCAUUUGACUGGCUAUUAAAGUGGCUAAGGCCAUGAACAUGGAUGGACCUGCGGUGCAUUAGCUAGUUGGUGAGGUAACGGCCCACCAAGGCGACGAUGCAUAGCCGGCCUGAGAGGGCGGACGGCCACAUUGGGACUGAGACACGGCCCAAACUCCUACGGGAGGCAGCAUG
rnacentral:rRNA from 1 species